rnacentral:rRNA from 1 species
UACGUAGGGUGCAAGCGUUGUCCGGAAUUAUUGGGCGUAAAGAGCUCGUAGGCGGUUUGUCGCGUCUGCUGUGAAAACGCGAGGCUCAACCUCGCGCCUGCAGUGGGUACGGGCAGACUAGAGUGCGGUAGGGGAGAUUGGAAUUCCUGGUGUAGCGGUGGAAUGCGCAGAUAUCAGGAGGAACACCAGCGGCGAAGGCGGCGCUCUGGGCUGGAACUGACGCUGAGGAGCGAAAGCGUGGGGAGCGAACAGG